rnacentral:rRNA from 1 species
AAUGAACGCUGGCGGCGCGCCUAAUACAUGCAAGUCGAGCGAGAAGACGUAGCAAUACGUUUGUAAAGCGGCGAACGGGUGAGGAAUACAUGGGUAACCUACCCUCGAGUGGGGAAUAACUAGCCGAAAGGUUAGCUAAUACCGCGUACGCUUCUUGGACUUCGGUUCAGGGAGGAAAGCGAUGCCGAGGGUAUCACGCUCUUGGAUGGGCUCAUGUCCUAUCAGCUUGUUGGNGAGGUAACGGCUCACCAAGGCUUCGACGGGUAGCUGGUCUGAGAGGACGAUCAGCCACACUGGCACUGCGACACGGGCCAGACUCCUACGGGAGGCAGCAGUAAGGAAUAUUGCGCAAUGGGCGAAAGCCUGACGCAGCGACGCCGCGUGGGGGA